rnacentral:lncRNA from 1 species
AAAAGGAAAGAAAGCGUUUCCUCUCCCUAUUGCUCGCAAAACCCAUUCUCGUUCUUUCUUCUUCAUCAUCUUCUUUGCUUCCUUUUGCUUCAAGAAAGGAAACCCAAGACUUGGUGGGUUAGAAACCAAAGAUUUCCUAGCUUCAUUCUUCUUGUUUGAUUCGAAAACGAAGAAAAACGGUGUUAGGGAUUUCAAAACCGUCAAACACAAACUCUCACGUUUCUUCUAGAUCCA